AGGCAUUGGUUUUAUGCUCCAUCGUUAUACACAAAAAGCUGUUAUCUUUGUGCUUGAAAGCUGAGGCCUGAGCCUCCCUUUUUUGUGGAUGGAUCCAUCCUCAACAAUCUCACGAUAAAGUACCAAGAACCCAUCAACCUAUACUUAGACAAUGUCCUUCUCUCUUCUCUCUCCUCCUCCCACCACAACCGCUCUUCUCUCCCCUCAUUAUCAUUCUCCUUUCUUUCCUCCUAUUUUCUCUCUUUAUCCCCAUUCUUCCCUAUAUGGCUACACCACCACAAUAACCAUUCUUCCUUGUCAUUACAGACCAAGAGAAAGGUGUGGACGAGUUGGUUCCAUGGACAAAAGGCUAGAUGGGCAUUUCAGGGUAAGUUCUUGUUCUAGCUUUGAAGGCGGUAGAGAAGAAGGAGAAUUAGACGGUAGGAGUUGGAGAGGACAGAAUGAAAAAGGGCAAGUGGGGGAAGAAAAUUUUGAGAGUGGUCGCGAAGAAGAAGAGGAAGAUAUUGAGGCUUUAAGUCCUACUGCUGUUUUGCCUGAGAGAUGGGAUGUUCUUGGUCUUGGUCAAGCUAUGGUAGAU
rnacentral:misc_RNA from 1 species